rnacentral:lncRNA from 1 species
UUUCAUGAUGAUGUUUAUGAUCCGUUUACCAAGACGUUGAGUUUCCGUUGAUGAUGAAUUAUUGUGGUAAAUUGCUAAUAUAAUUCCAGAUUGUUUCAUUAUCCUGUUUUGAUGACAUGUUGAGUUGAGAUGCAUGGUUUCGAUGUAAAAUUAUCCUGUUGAUGUUGUACAGGAAAUUAUGUGGUUCGAUGUGAUGUUGUUUGUGGUGUUGCAAUUGUUGUGAUAAUUUUGUCGUGAUUGUG